rnacentral:rRNA from 1 species
GGCGGACGGGUGAGUAAUGCUUGGGAAUUUGCCUAGUAGUGGGGGACAACACGGGGAAACUCGUGCUAAUACCGCAUACGCCCUACGGGGGAAAGCGGGGGAUCUUCGGACCUCGCGCUAUUAGAUGAGCCCAAGUCGGAUUAGCUUGUUGGUGAGGUAAUGGCUCACCAAGGCCGCGAUCCGUAGCUGGUCUGAGAGGACGAUCAGCCACACUGGGACUGAGACACGGCCCAG